UACAGAGGGGGCAAGCGUUGUUCGGAAUUACUGGGCGUAAAGGGCGCGUAGGCGGCCUGUUAAGUCGAACGUGAAAUCCCCAGGCUCAACCUGGGAACUGCGCUCGAGACUGGCAGGCUUGAAUCCGGGAGAGGGAUGUGGAAUUCCAGGUGUAGCGGUGAAAUGCGUAGAUAUCUGGAGGAACACCGGUGGCGAAGGCGACAUCCUGGACCGGCAUUGACGCUGAGGCGCGAAAGCUAGGGUAGCAAACGGG
rnacentral:misc_RNA from 1 species